rnacentral:rRNA from 1 species
GACAUAUACCGGAAACAUCUGGAGACAGGUGCCCCGCAAGGUCGGUAUACAGGUGGUGCAUGGCUGUCGUCAGCUCGUGUCGUGAGAUGUUGGGUUAAGUCCCGCAACGAGCGCAACCCUCGUUCUAUGUUGCCAGCGGUUCGGCCGGGAACUCAUAGAAGACUGCCGGGGUCAACUCGGAGGAAGGUGGGGAUGACGUCAAGUCAUCAUGCCCC